ACUGAACGCUGGCGGCAGGCUUAACACAUGCAAGUCGAGCGGGGUGAUGGUGCUUGCACUAUCACUUAGCGGCGGACGGGUGAGUAAUGCUUAGGAAUCUGCCUAUUAGUGGGGGACAACAUCUCGAAAGGGAUGCUAAUACCGCAUACGUCCUACGGGAGAAAGCAGGGGAUCACUUGUGACCUUGCGCUAAUAGAUGAGCCUAAGUCGGAUUAGCUAGUUGGUGGGGUAAAGGCCUACCAAGGCGACGAUCUGUAGCGGGUCUGAGAGGAUGAGCCGCCACACUGGGAAUGAGACACGGCCCAGACUCCUACGGGAGGGAGCAGUGGGGAAUAUUGGACAAUGGGGGGAUUCCUUAUCCAGCCAUGGAGCGUGUGUGAAGAAGGCCUUAUGGGUGUAAAGCACUUUAAGCGAGGAGGAGGCUCUUUUGGUUAAUACCCAAGAUGAGUGGACGUUACUCGCAGAAUAAGCACCGGCUAACUCUGUGCCAGCCGCCGCCGUAA
rnacentral:rRNA from 1 species